UACUCGAGUGGCGAACGGGUGAGUAACACGUGGGUGAUCUGCCCUGCACUUUGGGAUAAGCCUGGGAAACUGGGUCUAAUACCGAAUAUGACCGCGCUCUUCAUGGGGUGUGGUGGAAAGCUUUUGCGGUGUGGGAUGGGCCCGCGGCCUAUCAGCUUGUUGGUGGGGUAAUGGCCUACCAAGGCGACGACGGGUAGCCGGCCUGAGAGGGUGACCGGCCACACUGGGACUGAGAUACGGCCCAGACUCCUACGGGAGGCAGCAGUGGGGAAUAUUGCACAAUGGGCGCAAGCCUGAUGCAGCGACGCCGCGUGAGGGAUGACGGCCUUCGGGUUGUAAACCUCUUUCAAUAGGGACGAAGCGCAAGUGACGGUACCUAUAGAAGAAGCACCGGCCAACUACGUGCCAGCAGCCGCGGUAAUACGUAGGGUGCGAGCGUUGUCCGGAAUUACUGGGCGUAAAGAGCUCGUAGGUGGUUUGUCGCGUUGUUCGUGAAAACUCACAACUCAAUUGUGGGCGUGCGGGCGAUACGGGCAGACUAGAGUACUGCAGGGGAGACUGGAAUUCCUGGUGUAGCGGUGGAAUGCGCAGAUAUCAGGAGGAACACCGGUGGCGAAGGCGGGUCUCUGGGCAGUAACUGA
rnacentral:rRNA from 1 species